rnacentral:rRNA from 1 species
AGAGUUUGAUCCUGGCUCAGAUUGAACGCUGGCGGCAGGCCUAACACAUGCAAGUCGAGCGGUAGCACGAGAGAGCUUGCUCUCUGGGUGACGAGCGGCGGACGGGUGAGUAAUGUCUGGGAAACUGCCUGAUGGAGGGGGAUAACUACUGGAAACGGUAGCUAAUACCGCAUAACGUCUACGGACCAAAGUGGGGGACCUUCGGGCCUCACGCCAUCAGAUGUGCCCAGAUGGGAUUAGCUAGUAGGUGGGGUAAUGGCUCACCUAGGCGACGAUCCCUAGCUGGUCUGAGAGGAUGACCAGCCACACUGGAACUGAGACACGGUCCAGACUCCUACGGGAGGCAGCAGUGGGGAAUAUUGCACAAUGGGCGCAAGCCUGAUGCAGCCAUGCCGCGUGUGUGAAGAAGGCCUUAGGGUUGUAAAGCACUUUCAGCGAGGAGGAAGGGUUCAGUGUUAAUAGCACUGUUCAUUGACGUUACUCGCAGAAGAAGCACCGGCUAACUCCGUGCCAGCAGCCGCGGUAAUACGGAGGGUGCAAGCGUUAAUCGGAAUUACUGGGCGUAAAGCGCACGCGGGCGGUUUGUUAAGUCAGAUGUGAAAUCCCCGCGCUUAACGUGGGAACUGCAUUUGAAACUGGCAAGCUAGAGUCUUGUAG